rnacentral:rRNA from 1 species
GGGGGGGGGGGGGGGGGGGGGUGGGGGGGGGGGGGCGGGGGGGGGGUGGGGGGGGGGGGGCGGACGGGUGAGUAGCACGGGGGAACGGGCCUUUAGGGUGGGAAUAGCGCGGGGGAACUGGGGCUAAUAGCGACUGUGGCCGGCGGGGGAAAGGUUGAUCGCCGUUAGAGCGGCCCGCGUCUGAUUAGCUAGUUGGUUGAGGUAAUGGCUCACCAAGGCGACGAUCAGUAGCUGGUCUGAGAGGAUGAUCAGCCACAUUGGGACUGAGACACGGCCCAAACUCCUACGGGAGGCAGCAGUGGGGAAUCUUGCGCAAUGGGCGAAAGCCUGACGCAGCCAUGCCGCGUGAAUGAUGAAGGUCUUAGGAUUGUAAAAUUCUUUCACCGGGGACGAUAAUGACGGUACCCGGAGAAGAAGCCCCGGCUAACUUCGUG